UGUGGGAUUGCCUGUGUGUAGAGUGUGGUGUGGUAUUGUGUAAAUAGGUGUAAUAUGUGUUGCUAGGGGCUGUAGAGAGUGCGUGUAUAGGGGCAUAGUGUUAUAGGGGAUGUAGCGAGUGUGUGCAUACGGGCAGUAGUGUGUGUGUAUAGGUGACGUAGUGUGUAGGGGUUGUAGAGAGGGUGUGUUUAGAGAAUGUUGUAUGUCUUUCCUUACAAGGAAUAUAGUGUGUGUGUAGGUGGUGCAGUGUGUGUGUGUGUAAGAGAUCUAGUGUGUAAAGGACCCAGAGUGUGUAUAGAAGAUUGUGUGUGUGUGUGUGUAUGUGUGUAGAGGAUUAAGAGUGCAUAUAGGGUAAGGGAUCUAGCGUGUAUUUGGAGCGUAAUGUGUGUAGUGGUGCAGUGUGAGGG